GGUGUAUUGCCUUCCUUGGGAGUCUUUUACGGUACCGACAACAUGGCGGCGCCCAGUUCUGAGGAGCGUUUGCGGCGAGGAAGGAGUAGCCGGACGCUGUUGGUGCGGCACCUGCCUGCCGUGUUGACAGCCUCGGAGAAGGAGGAUUUGCUGAAGCACUUCGGGGCCUCAUCCGUGCGGGUCCUCUCUGACUACGGGAGGCUGAAACACACAGCUUUUGCUACUUUUCCCAAUGAAAAUACAGCUGCUCAGGCUUUAGCAAGACUGCAUCAGCUGAAUCUUCUAGGCCACACUCUAGUAGUUGAAUAUGCAAAGGACCAAGAUAGUGCUCGUGCACUUAGCCAGUCUUCUCUAUCUGAAAAAGACAAAAGUUUUGAAGAACCAGUAAAAGAAGAGAAGGAAAGGAAAGAGUUAACGUGUUUCAAAAUUGAAAGUGGAAUUGCACCUAAACAUGGGUUAACUUUUCCAAUAAAUUCUUGCCUCAAAUACCUAUAUCCACCACCUUCAAGUGCAAUCUUGGCCAACAUAGCAAAUGCCCUGGCAAGUGUACCUAAGUUUUAUGUGCAGGUUUUGCAUCUCAUGAACAAAAUGAAUCUUCCUUCUCCCUUUGGACCAAUAACAGCUCGGCCUCCCAUGUAUGAAGAGUAUAUACCUGCGCCUUUGCCACCACCUCCUAUUCCACCUUUUCCUCCUGAAGAGCCUCCUUUGCCUGAAGAAGAAGAUAGUCAGGAUUCAAGUAAAGAUGAAUCAGAAUAUGAAAGUGGUGAUGAAGAAGAGAGAGAGAGAUUUACAAAGCUGAUGGAAUUAGCAACCCUUCAACCCAAACGACAGAUACCAACAAAGCAACGCCAUGCAAGAAAAAGGAGGAAGAUAAAAGAUUUAUUAAAUGUCGCCCUACCUGCUCCUCAGAGUAAUUUGCAUCCAGCACUGUCGCCUUCAGAUGUUUUUGAGCAGCCACAGACUGUAGGCCUCAAAAAAAUUGAAUUUCACAUUUCUGCAGAAGCACCAGCCAUUCUUCAGAAAACCCCGGAGAAAGAGCAAGAUAAUGACAUCUGCACAGUAGUAGAUGGAAUAUCUAAUGCAGGAUUUGGAAAAAUCUUCCCUGCUCCCAGUUCCAAUCAUAAAGAGGAGAUGGAAGACGAUGACGACGAUGAAAUACCUUCAGAGUUUAUUUCUAAAAGAGAUCUAGAAAAAGGCAGAGUGUCUAAAAAAGAAAUGGAAAUACUUUCUGUCUUCAAAAAUUAUGAGCCUGGUGAUCCAAAUUGCAGGAUUUAUGUGAAGAAUUUGUCUAAACAAGUUCAGGAAAAGGACUUGAAGUUUAUUUUUGGAAGAUAUGUUGACUUUUCAUCAGAAACUGAACGUAUAAUGUUUGAUAUACGCUUAAUGAAAGAAGGCCGCAUGAAAGGACAAGCAUUUGUUGGACUUCCUAAUGAAAAAGCAGCUGCAAAAGCUUUGAAAGAAGCAAAUGGAUAUGUUUUGUUCGACAGGCCUAUGGUGGUUCAAUUUGCUCGAUCAGCAAGACCCAAGCAGGAUUCCAAAGAAGAGAAGAGAAAACGAUGAGGAAAACACUUGAAGGUGAUUCCAGUAGGUGAAAAACUGGAUCGGCACAGGCGAUUGAUCAUGUUCAGAAACAUUCCUGCGUAAAUACUGCAGUAAUACUGUGUCAUGCAAAGUGUAUCCUUUCUUGUUGUAUCCUUUUUUUGUGUAUUUUUUUCUGAAAAAAAAGAACCAGUUAUCUCCAAACACCUUUUCUAGCAUUGCAUUAGAAAGUAAACCAUCACAAUUUGACCCUCCUCCAAUGUGGUAAGCCAAGCCUAUUUAUUACAUGCAAAGAUACCCCAAAAUGUGUUGGGGGAAAAAUAAAUUAUCCAUUUUUAUUAAACAGUUUCAGCCACCAGAUCUUCAGUUAGUAUAAACUGCUCUGCUUACGUUGGUAGAGUUUUAAAUAUUUUAUAGUGACUGAAGAGUAUAUAAAGCUGGUCUUAAGUAUAUAUUUAAAGUGCAUUACAACAUACACACAGAGUCUUCCAACUUCAUGGUGUUCAGAGGGUGGGGGGAAGAAAUAUUGACACUAAGGCAAUGUACUUCUGUAAUGCUUUCUGUCUCUUGUCAUGGAUAGAAACCUACAGUUGAGUUGCUGAUUGUAAUUUUCUCCGCAUUGAAUAGGGAAUAGCAAUUGCAGUAAUAUUAUAUAGAUGGUGCAAACUAAAUUAUUAACACCUUGUUAGCCUAUUUUACCUUGUCUUAAUUUUCUUCUUAGACUAGUACUCUGCUUUGUACUCAUUACCGUGAUAUCCAGCAGUUCCAGAUACACUUCUCUAGCUUUUAUUAUCCAAACCUUUCAGCUUUCCAGUUGAAAUGUAUUGCUCUGUUUUUAAUGCACUUCUAAAUCAUUCCAGGUUCGUUCCUUGUCUUUCAAGUGUGUUCAAGCUCCAGGAAGAAGAUGUAUGGUCAGCCGAAUGAUACAUAAUAGCAUUGCAUAUGUAUUCAAAACUCAGCACAACUCUUAACAUUGGGGUACAUACUUGCUUUUAAACAAUGAAGGCCUUCCAAGUGGUCACAACACAUAUGGGAAAAUGUAUUUCAGUUAAAUGUCGAAUAAAUUAUUCUCACUUUUGCAUUGUC